rnacentral:lncRNA from 1 species
UGACGACGCAUGCGUGCAUAUACAAGUUCACUGCUUGAAGGCGAAGAUGAGUUUACCAAGAGAUGGCAGGCUUGGCAGAAGCGCCUGCAGCAAAGUAUAGUCUUUAUGUAGAUGUGCGAUUC